GACGAACGCUGGCGGCGUGCCUAAUACAUGCAAGUAGAACGCACAGUUUAUACCGUAGCUUGCUACACCAUAGACUGUGAGUUGCGAACGGGUGAGUAACGCGUAGGUAACCUGCCUGGUAGCGGGGGAUAACUAUUGGAAACGAUAGCUAAUACCGCAUAAUAUUGAUUAUUGUAUGAUAAUUGAUUGAAAGAUGCUAUUGCAUCACUACCAGAUGGACCUGCGUUGUAUUAGCUAGUAGGUGAGGUAACGGCUCACCUAGGCGACGAUACAUAGCCGACCUGAGAGGGUGAUCGGCCACACUGGGACUGAGACACGGCCCAGACUCCUACGGGAGGCAGCAGUAGGGAAUCUUCGGCAAUGGACGAAAGUCUGACCGAGCAACGCCGCGUGAGUGAAGAAGGUUUUCGGAUCGUAAAGCUCUGUUGUAAGAGAAGAACGGGUGUGAGAGUGGAAAGUUCACACUGUGACGGUAUCUUACCAGAAAGGGACGGCUAACUACGUG
rnacentral:rRNA from 1 species